UGUUUCUCACCUUCACAGACGAAGCGAACUUCAUCCCACCAUUUCCUCUCAGUCUCUCAUCGAACCUAAACCUAUACCAGAUCUGCAACUUCAUUUCUCAUCACAGAAAUCAGCAUAUUAAAACAAUGAAACUCACUUGAGUCACUACUACUAACUAGCAAAACUUAAUUUCCUCUAGUUUCUUACCCUAAAUCUAGUUUCUUACUCCUUUGAGACUCAAGACUCUCUUCCCUCUCUGCUCACUCCAGCCGCCACCACCACGACCUCACCACCACCAGCGUCUUCUUCUUUCUACUUCUUUUUCUUCUUCUUCUGAUUCUUCUUUCUUUCUCACAGUGAUUCAUAUUCAUCAACAUUUGAAGAAUCAACUAACUUACUUCUCUUAAUAACUAAUGAAAUAUCAUUAGCAAGCAAGUACUGACAGAGUUGGAGUGGAAAUUUAAACUUCCAAGCACGCUUGGUGGUACUAAUGGGUGCCGAGAGUUCAUUACAGGAGAAACCAAGGAGAUUUUUAUAUCAUGGUUAUGGAUAUGUUGGUUCCAAGUCCGUGGGAUAUCUGAAAUAGCAACUCUCGUAUGUAAGUUUCUUUUAAGAACUAUAAUAAGUUCAAAAAGUGUACAAUGAGCCGAUUAUUAGUUAUGAGGUAUCACGAUGCACUUUGCGUUGCCUGUCCUAUGGAAAUUAUAUGAUUUAAAGAGUUAUUUGAAACUUUGAGGGGCUGCCUUAUGUAUAAGCCUUGGGAAGCAAUUUUUCAAACAGGACAUAAUUUGUUUACUCGAGAUUAAUCACAAAAGUGGGCUGAGGAUGAGAAAGCAUUUAUCUUAAGGUAUAUCUCAUUUCAUAAUGUUGACUUUUGUUGUUUUCUCCAUGUACAAUAUGCUUAUGUAAGUCGGUCCAAAUUUCUAUAUCUACUUCGUCCUUCAUGAAUUAUAAGUUUCUCUCUACUUGAGAUUCAUUUGGUACAUUCUAAGCAUAUGCCACAAUCUUAAACCCCAGGUUUAUGUAACCUUGAUGGACACAUUUCCUCUUACUCUUGAUUACUUUUUGGUUUCUUUUGCUUUGAGAUAACUAUGUUUCUUUAUUAACCAAACUUCUCUGGUUUUUGGCGAACCACAGGGCAGCAUGCAGUUAAGUUUUUCAAUUUGAACUAAAGAUAAUGAGCUUUUGAUGAGAUAGGCAGUGGAUGGUUGUAAUUGCUUAAGGAUUGGAAUGUACCCAAAGGGUUGUACCAAAAAUUGCUCUGGUAUGGUCAAUCUACCAACUGAUGUCUUCAAUGAAGGAUGGGAACCAAUAGAUGCUCCGUACUUGGUCCACGGCCUCAUAGUGUUAUCCUCCAACUUUACUCUUGCUAGCAGUAUUAAGGGACCCUAGGAUGGAGGAACUUAAAGUUAAUUGGAACAGACGUAUGUUAUUGGAAGUAACCAUUUUACAAGAUGAAAUUGGCUCUUUGUGGCCGAUGGAAUUGGUUCUUAACAGUUGGAAACAACUUUAUAAGAAUAAACAACUAAGUUACUAACUAAAGCUAUUCAGAAAGUUGUUGCUGCCUAUGACUGCAAGAUCGUUGAAGGGUGCAAAAUCAUCGGCUUCUAUGAUUGUGAAUUGUUGAAGGGUGCAAGAUAUCAUGCUCGUGAAUUGUUGCUUAUGUUUUCUGCUGCAUUGGUGUUACUUUGUACCAGAUGGUUGGAAGUUGCUGCAUUUAGACAAGUCCCAUGGCCACUGCCUACCUACAAUUGCGAUUGGUAGAGGUGAAUACCUUGUCCUUGACCAGUAGAGUUUAAAUUUCUGCAAGUCUUGCGUCUUGUGACCAAGGAUUUUGGUUCUCAGGUCAUAAUCACUGAAAUUGAUUACAAAAUCCUUGUAGAUUGAUUUAGUUAUUUCUUUGGGACUUGUAGUUGUAUGAUUUUGAACUAAAUUUACAAUUUAAUGAAUGGAACUGGCAUCUGGUAUGA